CGGCCACACUGCGCAGGCGCAGCCGGGCCCGUGCAGGGGUUCUGGGAGCCAAGGCGACUGAGGGAGGCCCCGGCUCGGCGGAGGGCGCGGGCGGUGGGCGGGGCCCGGCUGCGGCGCGCGUGUGCACGUGACCACCAGGGCUCCGGGGAUUGGGCAGGCCCAAGCGGCGCCACGUCGGCUCGGCCGCGGGCUUCGCCGACCUCUUGACGGAGCUGUGCGAGUGAGGGCUGUUGCUGGCCAGACUGGGAGCGGGCGCGCAUGCGCCUCAGGGAGCCUGGUCCCUACUUAGUAUCCAGGGAAGAUGAGGUGCGCUUCCCGCCGUCAUUUGAGCUGACUUUUUUAAAUCAGGGAAGUGAAGUAAGGACAUAGCGUCACAUUCCCGGCCUCUUCUGAGCUGACUUUUUUAAAUGAGGGAAGUGAAGUAAGGACAAAGGGUUCUUAUAUGAUACUUUUAUAAGGUUUCUAACCAUGUGAGUCUUAAUCCUGUAUACCUCCCCAAGUGUAUGGUAUUGAGUGAAUUGUAGACAAGCAAGCUCUGACUUCAGCAAUACUAAUGAAGGAACUUCCCAUGUGACGGAAUGGAUAAGAAUCUGCCAGCCAGUGCAGGGGACACGGUGUAUUGUAGCCACGCGUUCCAGGAAACAAACUCACCCAGAAGGACAAUGCAGAUAGUGGAGUGCAGUUUAUUACACCGGGGGGCCCAAGGCAGGGUCUCCUCCUAGCCAAGAACCCCGACCGACUUUUGUGAAAACCUUAUAUACCUUAGGCUCAAGCCCACAUCCUCAAAUUCCUUAAACCUAGCCUGAAAAAUGUUAAAGGGAGAUACAAUCAGGUCACAGCCAUGAUUCAUAAUCAGAAGGGUCAGCUGGUUAUACAUUGUAGCCUACACCAAUGGGUGCCAUAAAGAUGAUAAAGGUGAUUGACUACAUAGGGGAUUGUCACAUUCUUUUUGGCGAUGGGGAAUCUUGGUAUGGAAUCUGGUGUUUAUCAGUACGGGAGGCCAGUUCAGCCGUAGGUAUGUUAUGCCCAUGGCUACCAGGCACAUAGUCCAAAGCUGACUGAAAGUGCGAGAUGGAGUUUCCUUCUUUUUCAAGAUGGAGUCAGCACUGCCUGUUCCUCUCCUCCUUCAGUAACACUGAAGUAACCCCACAUGCUGGGGAACAACUAAGCUGGUGUGCCACAACUACUGAAACCCGGUUGGUAUCUAAAGCCUGUACUCCACAGCAAGAGAGACACCGCAAUGAGAAGCACUAGCCCUGCAGCUGAGGAGUAGCCCCUGCCACUGCAACUAGAGAAAAUUCUUGCAAAGCAACGAAGACGCAGUGCGGCCAAAAAACAAAUAAAUACAUAACAACAACAAAAACGAAAGACACCAUGAUGUGAACAAAACUCAGAAUUCACCGUAAGUCAAAGAAGCAAGAUGUGAGAGAACAGACUGUGUUACUUUGUUUACAAGGAACACCGGCAAAGACAAAUCUUACCAAUAAUGUGAGAAGUUGUUAGGGAACAGUUGACCAACACUGCCUGCCCUGACUGGACAUCAUAACAACACCGUAAGUCUCCUACCUCAGGAUGCUUCAAAGAACAUAAAGUCAAAGAAGGGCCCAAAACCAACCUGGGGAAAACCAAAGAGGGGCCAAGAAGGGGAGAAGUGUGUGUUAGUCGCUUCAGUUGCAUCUGACUCUUUGUGACCCCUUGGACUGUAGCCCGCCAGGCUCCUCUGUCCAUGGAUUCUCCAGGUGAGAAUACUGGAGUGGUUUGCCAUUUCCACCUCCAAAGAAGGGGAGAAGAGACCAGUCCAUAAAAUCUCUUGCCAACCUCCCAGACUCUCUCAUGCUGGAAAUCAUUUUGAUUGAGCGAUACAUAUGCCAUCAGGAAGGGCCCUGCAUCAGACUGAAUGAGGACAUGAGCAAGAUGACUGGCCAGAGACAAUCCCAACUCACCUAACCCCACCCACCGUAAAACUUGAGACUGCAAGCCACAAGGCAGAGCAGUUCUCCUAGUCUCCCUUACACUGUUGCUCUCCAUUCCAGCGUCACUUUUCAAUAAAGUCUUUUGCUUUGUUAG